rnacentral:lncRNA from 1 species
CAGCUAGUGGUCGUCGAUCAGGAUUAUGGUGGCUAGUUGGUUGUGAUGGUCAAGAGGAACCCAUCAACAUUGAUUGUCGAAAAGCCCUGUUGUUUCUCUCUUUAAUCGAAAAAUCAGUGGUCAGAAGAAGCCCUAGGCCAAAGGUCAUCGGAUAAGGACCCAUGGAUAACCCACCAGGGGGGGACAUCCGGCUCCCGCCACCUCUGCCGCUUCUGAUCGACAAAAGGAUGAAGGGAGAAUCUCAAAAUCACUUGGAAGCCGACGGUGAGUCUUGAGAGAUGGCGGCAGUUCGGCGAUUUGGGCACCUCCGGUGGCUACUAGCUGGCACAUGGCCGGGGAGGGGGCAUUCGGCUUCAACCUCCUCCACCGCA